GUAGCUUUUGGUGUAAGGACAAAAUAUGAAGAAGCGACAGAUGCCGAAAUAAUACAGUGUUACCCAUACGGAUAUGGUUGGAUGACUUCAGAUGGUGGACGGAAUACAAAGAAUGCCAGCAGCCAACGACAAUUUCCGUUUCAAUUAUCUGCAGAUCCUGAUGACGAAGAUAAAGGUUUCAUUGAUACAUAUUUUAAUGUAUGUAGUUAAUGGAAAAUGAAUAAAUUCUUUUAACUGA